AGUGAACGCUGGCGGCAGGCCUAAUACAUGCAAGUCGAACGGCAGCACAGCAGAGCUUGCUCUGUGGGUGGCGAGUGGCGGACGGGUGAGGAAUACAUGGGAAUCUGCCCAGUCGUGGGGGAUAACGUAGGGAAACUUACGCUAAUACCGCAUGCGCCCUUCGGGGGAAAGCCGGGGACCUUCGGGCCUGGCGCGAUUGGAUGAGCCCAUGUCGGAUUAGCUAGUUGGCGGGGUAAUGGCCCACCAAGGCGACGAUCCGUAGCUGGUCUGAGAGGGUGAUCAGCCACACUGGAACUGAGACACGGUCCAGACUCCUACGGGAGGCAGCAGUAGGGAGUAUUGGACAAUGGGCGCAAGCCUGAUCCAGCCAUGCCGCGUGAGUGAAGAAGGCCCUCGGGUUGUAAAGCUCUUUUGUCCGGAAAGAAAGCGCCGGGUUAAUACCCUGGUGUCCUGACGGUACCGGAAGAAUAAGCACCGGCUAACUUCGUGCCAGCAGCCGCGGUAAUC
rnacentral:rRNA from 1 species